GCUGGGCACAGUGGCACAUGCCUGUAAUCCCAGUAGCUCAGGAGGCUGAGACAGGAGGAUCACGAAUUCAAGGCCAGCCUCAGCAAAAUCGAGGCGCUAAGCAACUCAGUGACACCCUGUCUCUA
rnacentral:sRNA from 1 species